CUGUAAACUGACACAGCAAUUGGAAAAUGCGCUGUGGGCAUUUUGCACAUGAAGCUGUUGACUUGGGCGCAGGACAUUGGCUUCCAUCUUCCAGUCUGAA